CAGUAGCCACGGUAAUACGUAGGGUGCGAGCGUUAAUCGGAAUUACUGGGCGUAAAGCGUGCGCAGGCGGUUUUGUAAGACAGGCGUGAAAUCCCCGGGCUCAACCUGGGAAUGGCGCUUGUGACUGCAAAGCUAGAGUGCGGCAGAGGGGGAUGGAAUUCCGCGUGUAGCAGUGAAAUGCGUAGAUAUGCGGAGGAACACCGAUGGCGAAGGCAAUCCCCUGGGCCUGCACUGACGCUCAUGCACGAAAGCGUGGGGAGCAAACAGGAUCAGAUACCCGCGUAGUCCCUGUCUCUUAUAC
rnacentral:rRNA from 1 species